rnacentral:rRNA from 1 species
UGGGGAAUCUUGGACAAUGGGGGAAACCCUGAUCCAGCCAUGCCGCGUGAGUGAUGAAGGCCCUAGGGUUGUAAAACUCUUUCGGCGGGGACGAUAAUGACGGUACCCGCAGAAGAAGCUCCGGCUAACUUCGUGCCAGCAGCCGCGGUAAUACGAAGGGGGCUAGCGUUGUUCGGAAUUACUGGGCGUAAAGCGCGCGCAGGCGGUUCUUCAAGUCAGAGGUGAAAGCCCAGAGCUCAACUCUGGAAUGGCCUUUGAGACUAGAGAACUAGGGUACGGGAGAGGUGAGUGGAAUUCCGAGUGUAGAGGUGAAAUUCGUAGAUAUUCGGAAGAACACCAGUGGCGAAGGCGGCUCACUGGCCCGUUACCGACGCUCAGGCGCGACAGCGUGGGGAGCAAACAGGAUUAGAUACCCUGGUAGUCCACGCCGUAAACGAUGGAUGCUAGCCGUUGGUAAGCAUGCUUAUCAGUGGCGCAGCUAACGCAUUAAGCGUCCCGCCUGGGGAGUACGGCCGCAAGGUUG